rnacentral:tRNA from 1 species
GUGGGUGUAGCUCAGUUUGGGUAGAGCUCCGGAUUGUGGCUCCGGUGGUCGAGGGUUCAAGUCCCUUCACUCACC